rnacentral:tRNA from 1 species
GGGCCUGGUGGCGCAACGGAAGCGCAACUGCCUUGCAAGCAGAAGGUUGUCGGUUCAAAUCCGAUCCGGUCCA